GCCGGGUGUGGUGGCGCAUGCCUGUAGUCCCAGCUACUUGGGAGGCUGAGGCAGGAGAAUCGCUUGAACCCAGGAGGUGGAGGUUGCAGUGAGCCAAGAUCAUGCCACUGCACUCCAACCUGAGCAACAGAGCGAGACUCUGACUCAA
ensembl:misc_RNA Metazoa_SRP Metazoan signal recognition particle RNA